CAGCUGGAUGAAGGUCAGAUUAAAGGUCUUACCGGACUAGCUGAGAGGAGGUGCAUGGCCGUCUUCUCAGCUUGGGGAUAACCCUAACUGAGACGGUAAGCCAGCUCGUGCCGUGAGGUGUCCUGUUAAGUCAGGUAACGAGCGAGACCCCCGUCUUCUGUUGCUACUCCUGCCCGUCCGGGUAGGAAGCACUCAGAAGAGACUGCCACCGAUAAGGUGGAGGAAGGAGGGGGCAACGGCAGGUCAGUAUGCCCCGAAACCCCUGGGCCGCACGCGGCAGAUAAUGGUAGGGACAGAGGGCUCCGACCCCGAAAGGGGAAGGCAAUCCCUAAACCCUACCUUGGUUGGGAUCGAGGGCUGCAACUCGCCCUCGUGAACGUGGAAUCC
rnacentral:rRNA from 1 species